rnacentral:rRNA from 1 species
AUUGAACGCUGGCGGCAGGCUUAACACAUGCAAGUCGAACGAGUGGCGGCCGGGUGCGUAAUGCUUGGGAAUCUAGCUUAUGGAGGGGGAUAACUACGGGAAACUGUAGCUAAUACCGCGUACCAUAGGAUGAGCCCAAGUGGGAUUAGGUAGUUGGUGAGGUAAAGGCGCACCAAGCCGACGAUCUCUCGCUGGUCUGAGCGGAUGAUCAGCCACAAUGGGACUGAGAAACGGCCCAGACUCCUACGGGAGGCAGCAGUGGGGAAUAUGGCACAAUGGGCGAAAGCAUGAUGCAGCAAUGCCGCGUGUAUGAAGAAGGCCUUCGGGGGGUAAAGUACUUGCAGUCGGGAGGCGGUACCGACAGAAGAAGCACCGGCUAACUCCGUGCCAGCAGCCGCGGUAAUAC